GGCCAGUUAGGCCCGAACUGGUUGGCGCGGGUCUUGGUUGGUCUGAGGCCGACCGCAUCGAGCUGGUGUGAACCGGAGCACCGUGGGCUAACGGCUCUGUUUCGAACUGGGCCGGGGGAGGGCCUUAGAUCGGAAGCAUGAUCUUGGGUUGAACGUAGCUGAGCUUGGCUGUGCCAUGCUGGGCCAAGCCUGGCUGAGUCAGACCAGGUCGCCUCAAGCCCACCUGGGACCAAUGGGCGUCAGAGCUUGCUUAGAUUAACCAGCUCCAAACCCAAUGACCAUUGCUCUCUUGAUUUCCCCCUCCACUCCCAACAGAGGCAUUUAUCCUGCCUGCCUCGUGUUAAAAAAAUGCCAGUUCUGAGAUUCUGGGAAAUAAGCUUUUUAAUGGGCGUGGAUUUCAGGAUUACGACAGCUAAAUGAGGAGAUGCAUAAAUCCCAAAUAUUGAACUGUCUUCCCUUCACCUUAUUUCCUGUGAACUCUCCCUAUGUCUGCGGCUCUGACAGCUCUUUAGAACCAUCUACAUAGAAACCCACUGAAAUGCUGCCAUCUCUGGGGUGGAGGGAAGUUGCCAAAAAGCAUACGUCCCAUGGAACAAUGGUGGAGUGCGGCAGAAAACUUUGAAUACAGGCAGCAGAGCAAAUCCCUUUUCUUAAAGAAUUACCUCACCCUUCUUGUCUCACGGGAUCUUUGAGGCAGUUUUCAAAGAAAUAGUAUUCCAAGGUCAUUUUAAAAAUACGCUUUUUUUUUUUUUUACAUCUAGGCUUGUCCACGUUAAGUGGUCAUAUGUGCAGUUACUGUAUGUACAAAUGGAAAUGUAGAUGUCUAAAUACUCAUUUGAACAGGCAGUUGUAAUGGCACACACUAAUGAAAAUGUGCUGCUGGUACUAAAAAUGUGGCCAUGCAAAGUAUAUACAUACUUUUUAAAUUCUUAUGCAUAAGAGCCCAAAUCCAAAACCAUAAAUUGCCUUGAAUAAGCUAUUGA